rnacentral:tRNA from 1 species
CCCUGGUUAGCUCAAUUGGUAGAGCGCUAAACCUGUAAUGGAGAGGUCCCGGGUUCGAUACCCAGACCAGGCG